GAUGAAGAACGCAGCGAAAUGCGAUAAGUAAUGCGAAUUGCAGAAUUUCCGUGAGUCAUCGAAUCUUUGAACGCACAUUGCGCCCACUGGUAUUCCGGUGGGCAUGCCUGUCCGAGCGUCAUUUCAACCCUCAAGCCCCCGGGCUUGGUGUUGGAGAUCGGCGAGCCCCCCGGGGCGCGCCGUCUCCCAAAUAUAGUGGCGGUCCCGCUGUAGCUUCCUCUGCGUAGUAGCACACCUCGCACUGGGAAACAGCGUGGCCACGCCGUAAAACCCCCCACUUCUGAAAGGUUGACCUCGGAUCAGGUAGGAAUACCCGCUAAACUUAAGCAUAUCAAUAAGCGGAGGA
rnacentral:misc_RNA from 1 species